UACGUAGGCAGCGAGCGUUGUUCGGAGUUACUGGGCGUAAAGGGUGUGUAGGCGGUUUUCUAAGUUUGGUGUGAAAUCUCCCGGCUCAACCGGGAGGGUGCGCCGAAAACUGGGAGACUAGAGUGCGGGAUGGGAGAGUAGAAUUCCUGGUGUAGCGGUGAAAUGCGUAGAUAUCUGGAGGAACACCGGUGGCGAAGGCGGCAUCCUGGACCGGUAUUGACACUGAGGCGCGAAAGCCAGGGGAGCAAACGGG
rnacentral:rRNA from 1 species